rnacentral:rRNA from 1 species
CAGCCGCCGCGGGAAUACGAAGGGUGCAAGCGUUACUCGGAAUUACUGGGCGUAAAGCGUGCGUAGGUGGUGGUUUAAGUCCGUUGUGAAAGCCCUGGGCUCAACCUGGGAAUUGCAGUGGAUACUGGGUCACUAGAGUGUGGUAGAGGAUAGUGGAAUUUCCGGUGUAGCAGUGGAAUGCGUAGAGAUCGGAAGGAACAUCUGUGGCGAAGGCGACUAUCUGGGCCAACACUGACACUGAGGCACGAAAGCGUGGGGAGCAAACAGGAUUAGAGACCCCCGUAGUCCCUGUCUCUUAUAC